CCUACGGGAGGCAGCAGUGAGGAAUAUUGGUCAAUGGGCGAGAGCCUGAACCAGCCAAGCCGCGUGAAGGAAGACUGCGCCAGGCGUCGUAAACUUCUUUUGUCUGGGAACAAAGGGCGCCACGCGUGGCGUUGUGAGUGUACCCGAAGAAAAAGCAUCGGCUAACUCCGUGCCAGCAGCCGCGGUAAUACGGAGGAUGCGAGCGUUAUCCGGAUUUAUUGGGGUUAAAGGGUGCGUAGGCGGGUCCGAAAGUCAGCGGGUAAAGCCCGGGGCUCAACCCCGGGGGAGCCGUUGAAACUGGCGGACUAGAGACGGCGAGAGGUACGCGGAAUGCGCGGUGUAGCGGUGAAAUGCAUAGAUAUCGCGCAGAACUCCGAUUGCGAGGGCAGCGUACCGGCGCCGGACUGACGCUGAGGCACGAAAGCGUGGGUAUCGAACAGGAUUAGAUACCCGUGUAGUC
rnacentral:rRNA from 1 species